CUCCAUGGAAUGUCCAAUCUCAAGUGGUCAGCUCUGGACAGGCACUUUUGAUAAAUGGAUUUCAGUUGUGUGUGAGGAACAAGCCAGUGACCCGGUAGCAGACACAGAAGUGUUUUGACUCCGAGGGGCAUCAGGACGCAGAGCUGUGCCGUGUGGAUUACCAGACUAGUGAGAACUCCCCUUGGGACUCAUCAGAAGUUCAUAGCUGCAAUAUGUGCAACAUGGAAAGUGGCAUUUAUGUGACUGUCCCUGUUUCUCUGCUUUGUGAUCUCAUCACACUGACUACAGCUAUAGGUGGCCACUCAACUGAUGUGUUACCUGGAGCUAAAAAAGAGCCCAGCACAAGAAAUGCUGGAGGGGACAUCAGAGGUGCCAACGUGGAGUAACUUUGAAAGAAUCUGGCUUUUCUCUUUCUCCUUUUCCCAAGGAACAUGGACAGGAAGUACAAAGUGACCCAGGCUGCUCCUCUUUUAAAUGUGUCCUUUAGCCAUUACACAGAAGGCGGGAAGGGUGUCUAAAUGACAGGAGAUUUGGCUCAUAUACACAUGUUCUAGAUUAAGGAACUCGAAUUAUGCAGGAAAUUAACUUUAUGAACCUUGGAGAAUGGAAGGACUCAUUGGGUUACUAUGUGCGCAUUUGUAUUUUUUACUUUUGAUAAUUUAACAUGUUUCUCUUCUUAGUUCCUUCCAUUCCUACAUUAGCAGAGAUUCAGCAGAAGCUUUUUAACCCUGGUACACUGGCGGCUGAGUUCUAAGGAAAGCAUGGUAACACCGGAGUUUUAUCAUCACCAAAGCUUUAUCAUGACAUAUUCACAAAGGACCAUAAACCUGUUGGGAUUUUAUGGCUUGGAGAUCACAA